rnacentral:rRNA from 1 species
UACGGGGGGGGGCAAGCGUUUGUUCGGAAUUACUGGGCGUAAAGGGCUCGUAGGUGGCCAACUAAGUCAUGCGUGAAAUCCCUCGGCUUAACCGGGGAACUGCGUCUGAUACUGGAUGGCUUGAGUUUGGGAGAGGGAUGCGGAAUUCCAGGUGUAGCGGUGAAAUGCGUAGAUAUCUGGAGGAACACCGGUGGCGAAGGCGGCAUCCUGGACCAACACUGACACUGAGGAGCGAAAGCCAGGGGAGCAAACGGG